AUGACCUUGACGGAAAGAGGUGCCAAAGUCCAAGGUUUGAAAGUUCUGCAGCCCCCAGGACCCUUGUCUGUGUCAGCAGGAGAGACCCUCACUCUGGCAUGUACAGUAAAUGGAGUUGGUCCACCAGGAGGCGUGAAAUGGCACAAGGGGUCGGACAGAAAGCAGCCCCCCAUUUACAGUGAAAGAGGACCAUCUUCCUCCCGAGUGACCCGGGUUGUUGCUGGAUCACAAACAGACUUCAGCAUCCGCAUCAGCAACAUCCGACCUGAGGAUGCCGGAACCUAUUACUGUGUGAAGUACAAACCAGGAGCCCAAGACAGAGAAUUUAAAUCGGGAGCAGGCACUGAGGUUUCCGUGAUUGCCACGCCAUCCCCGCCAUCUAUCAAGGGUCCCGCCAGCAGAGUGUUAUCUGGGACCUCGGCGACUUUCAACUGCACCUCGGAUGGGUUCUCCCCCCGAGCCAUCAAAGUCACUUGGUUGAAAGACAACACCAGGAUCACGUCCCCAGGGCCCACCAUUCUGCCAGAAGGAGACAGCAUCUCCUACCAACUGCUGAGCACCGUGCAGGUGCCACUCACAAGAGACGAUGUGAAGUCUCAGCUCACCUGCGAGAUUGAACAUGAGACCUUGCGGAGUCCCCUGCGGGAGUUUUUCCAACUUGGAGAUAUCCUACGAGUUCCACCCAGAGUGAAACUGGAAGACAACCCAGACAACCCCGUCCCACUGAACGAAUCGGUGACCUUCAGCUGCAGCGCGGAAGGGUUUUACCCAGAAGACACAACCUUGGCCUUGACUCUGAACAGCAGCCUGAGUGAAACAGGAACGGCUGAGCCCAUGGCCCAGAACGGGGAUGGGACAUUCACCCUCAGGAGCUCCCUGAAGCUGAACGCCACAGAAGACAGGAACCAGUCUGCAUUUACUUGCCUGGUUAGGCAAAACUCCCAGCCUGUAGCAGCUGAAAUGUCAGUCCUGAACAUCAGGGUGCCGACUGAAGGAAGUGAAAGCGUCAGUAUAGAUCAUUGUCAGCUGUCCCCCUUCGGACUCUGUAUCGGACUUAUUCUGGCCAGCAAACUCCUUGUUCUUGCCUCUUGCCUCUUAUACCUCUUCCUCAAAAAAGAACACGAUGCCAAAAGAAUCUAUGCGAAGGUCCAGCAGAAGCCCAAAUUUCUAUCCACUUCCAUUGGAGAGACCAUCACCCUGCACUGCCAAUUGACCCGGGCAAUUAUCCGCCCUACCGUGAAAUGGUACAAGGGGUCCCAAGCUCUUGACACAGGAACCGAUUCCCGGGUGAGAAGAGUCCACCCUGGCUCGCAAACAGACUUCUCCAUCCUCAUCCCCCACAUCGAACGCCAGGAUGCUGGGACCUAUUAUUGCACGAGAGAAUUCUUCGGACUGAAGCGCAAGGGAAAAGGCAGUGUGGUUUCUGUGGUUGUUCCGCCCAAAGUAUGGCUGAAAAUGGACCCUCCCUCACCUGUCCAGGUGAAUGACACUGUGACAGUCACCUGCUACGUAGAAGGCUUUUAUCCCAGAGACAUCAUUUUUAACUGGCUGAAGGACCGGGAGGAAACCCCCCUGGAGGUGCCAGUUUUCAAAAUCCCAAAUCAGGAUGGGACCUUCUCCCUUCGGAGUUCCCUGGAAGUGACAGCAACUAAGCAGAGAAGCUCUUCAGUGUUCACUUGCUGGGUUGUGCACAACUCCCAGCCCCCCAUUAGCAAAUCUGUGGUGCUAAAAGUCGUAAGCAGCACAUCUGAACCAGAUGCCAAAAGAAUCUAUGCGAAGGUCCAGCAGAAGCCCAAAUUUCUAUCUGCAUCCGUUGGAGAGACCAUCACCCUGCACUGCCAAUUGACCCGGGCAAUUAUCCACCCUACCGUGAAAUGGUACAAGGGGUCCCAAGCUCUUGACACAGGAACCGAUUCCCGGGUGAGAAGAGUCCAUCCUGGCUCGCAAACAGACUUCUCCAUCCUCAUCCCCCACAUCGAACGCCGGGAUGCUGGGACCUAUUAUUGCACGAGGGAAUUCUUUGGACUGAAGCGCAAGGGGAAAGGCAGUGUGGUUUCUGUGGCUGUUCCGCCCAAAGUAUGGCUGAAAAUGGACCCUCCCUCACCUGUCCAGGUGAAUGACACUGUGACAGUCACCUGCUAUGUAGAAGGCUUUUAUCCCAGAGACAUCAUUUUUAACUGGCUGAAGGACCGGGAGGAAACCCCCCUGGAGAACCAGAAGAGGCAUGCAAAGGGCGGAGGAGAUGUUGUCUGCAUGCUGGCGCAGUCUCUGAUUGCUCGGAAAAAGCCCUGGAGAGGAGGGAACUUAGAUAAGUGUAGGGAAGCAGAGACUUUCAGUCUCAGCAACUAA